CUAGCUUGCUAGAACUUAGAGACAGGUGCUGCACGGCUGUCGUCAGCUCGUGUCGUGGGAUGUUGGGUUAAGUCCCGCAACGAGCGCAACCCACGUAUUUAGUUGCUAACGGUUCGGCCGAGCACUCUAAAUAGACUGCCUUCGUAAGGAGGAGGAAGGUGUGGACGACGUCAAGGCAUCAUGGCCCUUAUGCCCAGGGCGACACACGUGCUACAAUGGCA
rnacentral:rRNA from 1 species